rnacentral:rRNA from 1 species
UACGUAGGGUGCAAGCGUUGUCCGGAAUUAUUGGGCGUAAAGAGCUCGUAGGCGGUCUGUCGCGUCGACUGUGAAAACCCGCGGCUCAACCGCGGGCCUGCAUUCGAUACGGGCAGACUAGAGUUCGGUAGGGGAGUCUGGAAUUCCUGGUGUAGCAGUGAAAUGCGUAGAGAUGUGGAGGAACACCGAUGGCGAAGGCAGCCCCCUGGGCUA